rnacentral:rRNA from 1 species
ACUAUCGUUAACUGAAUACAUAGGUUAACGAGGCGAACCGGGGGAACUGAAACAUCUAAGUACCCCGAGGAAAAGAAAUCAACCGAGAUUCCCCCAGUAGCGGCGAGCGAACGGGGAGCAGCCCAGAGUCUGAAUCAGCUUGUGUGUUAGUGGAACGGUCUGGAAAGUCCGACGGUACAGGGUGAUAGUCCCGUACACCAAAAUGCACAGGCUGUGAACUCGAAGAGUAGGGCGGGACACGUGGUAUCCUGUCUGAAUAUGGGGGGACCAUCCUCCAAGGCUAAAUACUCCUGACUGACCGAUAGUGAACCAGUACCGUGAGGGAAAGGCGAAAAGAACCCCGGCGAGGGGAGUGAAAAAGAACCUGAAACCGUGUACGUACAAGCAGUGGGAGCACCUUCGGGUGUGACUGCGUACCUUUUGUAUAAUGGGUCAGCGACUUAUAUUCUGUAGCAAGGUUAACCGUAUAGGGGAGCCGCAGGGAAACCGAGUCUUAACUGGGCGUUAAGUUGCAGGGUAUAGACCCGAAACCCGGUGAUCUAGCCAUGGGCAGGUUGAAGGUUGGGUAACACUAACUGGAGGACCGAACCGACUAAUGUUGAAAAAUUAGCGGAUGACUUGUGGCUGGGGGUGAAAGGCCAAUCAAACCGGGAGAUAGCUGGUUCUCCCCGAAAGCUAUUUAGGUAGCGCCUCGUGAAUUCAUCUUCGGGGGUAGAGCACUGUUUCGGCUAGGGGGUCAUCCCGACUUACCAACCCGAUGCAAACUACGAAUACCGAAGAAUGUUAUCACGGGAGACACACGGCGGGUGCUAACGUCCGUCGUGAAGAGGGAAACAACCCAGACCGCCAGCUAAGGUCCCAAAGUCAUGGUUAAGUGGGAAACGAUGUGGGAAGGCACAGACAGCCAGGAUGUUGGCUUAGAAGCAGCCAUCAUUUAAAGAAAGCGUAAUAGCUCACUGGUCGAGUCGGCCUGCGCGGAAGAUGUAACGGGGCUAAACCAUGCACCGAAGCUGCGGCAGCGACACUAUGUGUUGUUGGGUAGGGGAGCGUUCUGUAAGCCUGCGAAGGUGACCUGUGAGGGUUGCUGGAGGUAUCAGAAGUGCGAAUGCUGACAUAAGUAACGAUAAAGCGGGUGAAAAGCCCGCUCGCCGGAAGACCAAGGGUUCCUGUCCAACGUUAAUCGGGGCAGGGUGAGUCGACCCCUAAGGCGAGGCCGAAAGGCGUAGUCGAUGGGAAACAGGUUAAUAUUCCUGUACUUGGUGUUACUGCGAAGGGGGGACGGAGAAGGCUAUGUUAGCCGGGCGACGGUUGUCCCGGUUUAAGCAUGUAGGCUGGUUGUCCAGGCAAAUCCGGAUAAUCAAGGCUGAGGUGUGAUGACGAGGCACUACGGUGCUGAAGUAACAAAUGCCCUGCUUCCAGGAAAAGCCUCUAAGCAUCAGGUAACAUUAAAUCGUACCCCAAACCGACACAGGUGGUCAGGUAGAGAAUACCAAGGCGCUUGAGAGAACUCGGGUGAAGGAACUAGGCAAAAUGGUGCCGUAACUUCGGGAGAAGGCACGCUGGUGUGUAGGUGAAGUCCCUGCGGAUGGAGCUGAGACCAGUCGAAGAUACCAGCUGGCUGCAACUGUUUAUUAAAAACACAGCACUGUGCAAACACGAAAGUGGACGUAUACGGUGUGACGCCUGCCCGGUGCCGGAAGGUUAAUUGAUGGGGUUAUCCGUAAGGAGAAGCUCUUGAUCGAAGCCCCGGUAAACGGCGGCCGUAACUAUAACGGUCCUAAGGUAGCGAAAUUCCUUGUCGGGUAAGUUCCGACCUGCACGAAUGGCGUAAUGAUGGCCAGGCUGUCUCCACCCGAGACUCAGUGAAAUUGAACUCGCUGUGAAGAUGCAGUGUACCCGCGGCAAGACGGAAAGACCCCGUGAACCUUUACUAUAGCUUGACACUGAACAUUGAGCCUUGAUGUGUAGGAUAGGUGGGAGGCUUUGAAGCGUGGACGCCAGUCUGCGUGGAGCCAACCUUGAAAUACCACCCUUUAAUGUUUGAUGUUCUAACGUUGGCCCCUGACCGGGGUUGCGGACAGUGUCUGGUGGGUAGUUUGACUGGGGCGGUCUCCUCCCAAAGCGUAACGGAGGAGCACGAAGGUUAGCUAAUCCUGGUCGGACAUCAGGAGGUUAGUGCAAUGGCAUAAGCUAGCUUGACUGCGAGCGUGACGGCGCGAGCAGGUGCGAAAGCAGGUCAUAGUGAUCCGGUGGUUCUGAAUGGAAGGGCCAUCGCUCAACGGAUAAAAGGUACUCCGGGGAUAACAGGCUGAUACCGCCCAAGAGUUCAUAUCGACGGCGGUGUUUGGCACCUCGAUGUCGGCUCAUCACAUCCUGGGGCUGAAGUAGGUCCCAAGGGUAUGGCUGUUCGCCAUUUAAAGUGGUACGCGAGCUGGGUUUAGAACGUCGUGAGACAGUUCGGUCCCUAUCUGCCGUGGGCGCUGGAGAAUUGAGGGGGGCUGCUCCUAGUACGAGAGGACCGGAGUGGACGCAUCACUGGUGUUCGGGUUGUCAUGCCAAUGGCACUGCCCGGUAGCUAAAUGCGGAAGAGAUAAGUGCUGAAAGCAUCUAAGCACGAAACUUGCCCCGAGAUGAGUUCU